rnacentral:rRNA from 1 species
UACGUAGGGUCCGAGCGUUGUCCGGAAUUAUUGGGCGUAAAGGGCUCGUAGGCGGUUUGUCGCGUCGGGAGUGAAAACACCGGGCUUAACUCGGUGCUUGCUUCCGAUACGGGCAGACUGGAGGUAUGCAGGGGAGAACGGAAUUCCUGGUGUAGCGGCGAAAUGCGCAGAUAUCAGGAGGAACACCGGUGGCGAAGGCGGUUCUCUGGGCAUUACCUGACGCUGAGGAGCGAAAGUGUGGGGAGCGAACAGG